CCUACGGGUGGCAGCAGUGGGGAAUAUUGCGCAAUGGGGAAACCCUUAUCCAGCGACGCCGCGUGAGGGAAGGAGGUUUUCGGGUUGUAAACCUCUGUCAGUGGGGACGAUAAUGACGGUACCCACGGAGGAAGCCACGGCUAACGAAGUGCAAGCAGCCGCGGUAAUCCGUAGGUGGCAAGCGUUGACCGGAAUUACUGGGUGUAAAGGGAGCGUUGGCGGGGUGUCAAGUCAGAAGUGAAAAUGAUGGGCUCAACACAUAACCUGCUUUUGAAACUGUUAUUCUUGAGUGAAGUAGAGGCAAGCGGAAUUCCUAGUGUAGCGGUGAAAUGCAUAGAUAUUAGGAGGAACACCAGUUGCGAAGGCGGCUUGCUGGGCUUUUACUGACGCUGAGGCUCGAAAGCGUGGGGAGCAAACAGGAUUAGAUACCCUUGUAGUC
rnacentral:rRNA from 1 species